rnacentral:tRNA from 1 species
GGAGGGUGUAGCUCAGUGGUAGAGUGCGUGCUUAGCAUGCAUGAGGUCCUGGGUUCAAUCCCCAGCACCUCCA